UACGGAGGAUCCAAGCGUUAUCCGGAUUUAUUGGGUUUAAAGGGUGCGUGGGCGGCUUAUUAAGUCAGGGGUGAAAGACGGUGGCUCAACCAUCGCAGUGCCCUUGAUACUGAUGAGCUUGAAUACACUUGAGGUAGGCGGAAUGUGACAAGUAGCGGUGAAAUGCAUAGAUAUGUCACAGAACACCAAUUGCGAAGGCAGCUUACUAAGGUGCAAUUGACGCUGAGGCACGAAAGCGUGGGGAUCAAACAGG
rnacentral:rRNA from 1 species